GGACGAAGCAGCUGUUCUGCGCUCUGGGUCGCUGCCUCAGCAGCUGGACGCCGCCUCCUGGGUCUUUCCCGUACAACGUUCUUGUGAGCGGAAGAGCAAAUGCAUGUGGAUCAGGUUGAACUCCCAUGACUAUCAGUGGAAGUGCUGGACAGAGAACAAAUGCAGAAUAUGCUAUGGAUAUCUGCAGUAGAGCUCAGAUAAGAUGCUUUUAAAAGCCCAUGAUGCUUAUAUGUCUGCAUGUAAACAUAUUCAAGCCCACCUAGAACCCUAGGAAUCUCGAGUACUGCCAAGUUAAACCCCAGACUGCAUGGCUGGUUUAUAAAGAGCUCCAGGAGCUCGGCAACAACAAUACGUGAUGCAAAGGACCCAACCAGCGAACUCUGGGGAUGAUGAGGUUUCUUCCUCCCUCAAGCUAUGAAGGGAGGAAACGAGAAGGUAGCUUAUUCUUCUGGCCCAUUCCAUCCUUGGAUUUCAGUUUUGAUGGCACUACUUAGUCACCAGAAAUCAUCACUGAGACACCAAGUCAUUUCAAAUCGUAAGCUACUGAAGAACUGUUAUAAGGUAAUGACUUUCCCUCACUAACAACUCGCCUGGCUUCACUCCGAUGAACUAGAAUGAAAGGCGCUGAGAUUUAUCAGCACCAAGCGCAAGCCAUUUGUGGGAGCAGUUGUUGUGAUGUAAGGAUUUGGGGGAGGUGACAGAGACCAAAAGCCAUCUUCCAUUUGGUAAGGCAGGGCUUUGAAUUCUAGGGCGGGAGAUAGGAUGGUGGCAGGUGGCAGCUUACAACAGAAUCUCUUUUCUGGGGUAUAUAGUGCCUGAAUUAAAAUAACUGUUAAAUAAAAGCUCUCGAUGCCUUACUAAGAACACUGCCACAUCAUUCAGUACCCUGCUCCCUAAUAUGUCUCAGAUUUAUUUUAUUGCCAUAAAAGCACAGGGCAAACCUAGAUCCUGUGUGAGCCACAUGAAGACCCUGUCUGAUACACAUAGUGACCCUGUGCCUCCUAUCUGACUCCCAGCCUCCUGUGGUUCUCUCCUGACUCCAUAUCAGCAUGGCUCCAGUAAAACCAUGCUGACAAUGCUUCCACCAAUCUCUGGAAUCCUCCUUUAAAGAAGGCUCUGCAGGCAGAGGUGGUGCAUGAAAAAGUUAAGGUUGCCUCAGGUUCUGUUUACUUCUCCAAGGCUUGAAAAGGAGUGGAUGUUGUGCAUCCCCCUUAGCCCUGCCCCAGCCCUCCUUCUCUUCCUGUCCUGUACUCUCCCCACUCCCUCCAUUUUACACUUUGAAUUUCUUGACUGUUUUCUGGAUAACUUUAUAACCUUAAAGUUGCACUAACAGAGGGCUUUUUUUUUUUCAUUUAAUGUCCUUAGGAUUUAAAAAAAGAAAGAAGAGAACAGGAACUGAAUAUAUAUAUAAAAUAUGACACAUAUGUCAAUGAUAACUUAAGGGCCACAAAUUAAGAGUUUCAUAUGACUUCAUAUGAAGCACCUUUCAUAUGACCUUACCACUUAAUGUACAGUCAUACCAUGUAAUUAGAGGGAAUGGGGCUGUGCUAAAUGAUCUUGGGAGUUACAGGUAUGGGGCACUUCAGAGUUUAAUACUUUGUUUAUUAUUUCCCAUUAUUAUGUCACUGAAUUACUGAGAUUGCUGUGUGUUGUAUAAACAUUAUUUAACAUUCAGAUUACUUAAAAACUCUAAAUGAAGCUUUGAAAUAAAUUCAGAUUGGUUCCUAGGGAAUUGCUGAAUAAGAGAACCAAACCUAGAAAAUAAAACCUGCAAAGUUGUUCAGCAAAUUGUUUAUCUUAGUUUGUAACUUUGCAGGAAAUGGAUUCUAAGAAAACCCUUCUUCAACCCUACAACCAGAAAAGUAUUUUAGGGAUUGCCAGGGAGGACCCCUUCUGUCACUUCUAGUCAAUGGCACCUGCCUAUGUUUCCAGGUAGGCUAUCACAGGCCAGUUUCAUUCAUCUCUCUCAGUCAUGGACAGUGGCUGGAGGCUCCAGGAUCAGUGAUAAUAAAGGAGGGUUGGGCAGAAGUAACCUCAGUUCUAUUCCACCUGGAAAUUUCUCCCUCACAGCCAUCAGUCAUUAAAGAGUUGAUUACAUUUACCACCUUAGAGAGAUUGACAUGCCUGCCACCAGCUUUUGUGAGGAUUUCAGAUUUAUAGAUUUAGUGUCUCCUGAGGGAUUCCAUUUACAUUGUUCAGGUAUCACAGUAUGUUGUGUGGGUUUGGUGCAGCAGAGCACAAUCCAUGUUUUAACCUUUACCCAUUUGAUAAAUAGGAUCAUAGCUUUUAGGCUGAGGAUGAAAUGCCCUGGUAGUAAAGGUUAAAACAGUCACCUCACUGAUU